rnacentral:rRNA from 1 species
AAUAGAUACCCGGGUAGUCCACGCCGUAAACGAUGAGUGCUAAGUGUUAGGGGGUUUCCGCCCCUUAGUGCUGCAGCUAACGCAUUAAGCACUCCGCCUGGGGAGUACGGUCGCAAGACUGAAACUCAAAGGAAUUGACGGGGGCCCGCACAAGCGGUGGAGCAUGUGGUUUAAUUCGAAGCAACGCGAAGAACCUUACCAGGUCUUGACAUCCCAUUGACCACUAUGGAGACAUAGUUUUCCCUUCGGGGACAACGGUGACAGGUGGUGCAUGGUUGUCGUCAGCUCGUGUCGUGAGAUGUUGGGUUAAGUCCCGCAACGAGCGCAACCCUUGUUCUUAGUUGCCAUCAUUUAGUUGGGCACUCUAAGGAGACUGCCGGUGACAAACCGGAGGAAGGUGGGGAUGACGUCAAAUCAUCAUGCCCCUUAUGACCUGGGCUACACACGUGCUACAAUGGACGGUACAAACGGUUGCCAACCCGGCAGGGGGAGCUAAUCCGAUAAAACCGUUCUCAGUUCGGAUUGUAGGCUGCAACUCGCCUACAUGAAGGACC